rnacentral:rRNA from 1 species
GAUGAACGCUGGCGGCGUGCCUAAUACAUGCAAGUCGAGCGAACGGACGAGAAGCUUGCUUCUCUGAUGUUAGCGGCGGACGGGUGAGUAACACGUGGAUAACCUACCUAUAAGACUGGGAUAACUUCGGGAAACCGUAGCUAAUACCGGAUAAUAUUUUGAACCGCAUGGUUCAAAAGUGAAAGACGGUCUUGCUGUCACUUAUAGAUGGAUCCGCGCUGCAUUAGCUAGUUGGUAGGGUAACGGCUUACCAAGGCAACGAUGCAUAGCCGACCUGAGAGGGUGAUCGGCCACACUGGAACUGAGACACGGUCCAGACUCCUACGGGAGGCAGCAGUAGGGAAUCUUCCGCAAUGGGCGAAAGCCUGACGGAGCAACGCCGCGUGAGUGAUGAAGGUCUUCGGAUCGUAAAACUCUGUUAUUAGGGAAGAACAUAUGUGUAAGUAACUGUGCACAUCUUGACGGUACCUAAUCAGAAAGCCACGGUUAACUACGUG